CCUGACUCAGUUUCCGUUGAAGAAUCCACAAGCUUCCCAGUUGGUAACUUCUGCCUGUGGCUGUCAGAUCUCAUCCCACAGAAUCCAAGUGUUAGAAUGUUCCAUCGGGCAGGGGUGCAAAGGUCCUUUAGCUCCUGCAUGUCAGUGACGUGGCACCUGGUCUACCAUGUUCCAUUCUGAGUCCAAGACAGAUGUUGCCCGCGAACCACAGCACCCCCGACCACUGGAUGUGGCCCCAGAAUCCUGAGCAACACGUGAUCCCUUCAGCCAUGUGUUCUAGCAACCAGCGUCGGCACUGGAUCGGGAAUGAUUGCUAUUCUUGGACAAGUCCAGUCUGUUAUCCUGGAGAUGGGGAAACUGAGAGCUGGGGUGUAUAAUUUGCCGAAUGGAUGCAAGGUCAUCUAGGGCUCUGGUUUGAGACGUCUUCACUCAGGGAUGCAGACCGAUGGAGACUUCACCAUCUAUGGUGUCACUGGUGGCUACAGCAGGGCAAGAGGCACAUGCCAAUUCAUGCACCCGCCAUGCCAGGAGUGCCUGCAGGAGUGAAAUGGGUCACUACUAUUUGCAUUUCAUCGCCCCAAGCAACGCUGAAUUUCAAGGGACUAUGGAAGUAUAAUUCAACACGGUUUUAGAAUGAGGACUAGGAAAAUCUGAAGAACAGUGCUAAUGAUAUACGGCUUAACAUGGGGAAGGAGAGCAAGGACCACAUCACGGUAGGCUUUGAGUGCCAUGGUCAGGCACUUGGAAUGCUUCCUGUAGGCAAUGAGGAGCUUUGGGUGGGUGGAUGAGGUAUGAGCCUGCAAAGAAGGCAGCAGAAGAGAGGAAAGUGAGGUUUAAACAUGAGAAGGGUGCCAGAGCCAAGGGAAGAAGAAGGAAAUACGAAACAUCAAACAGAGAGGGAAGCCGGAGAAAUGGGCUGGGGAAGCACUGGACAGUGAGUGGAAGUCAGGCCCUCCUGCCUCCAACCCUCCCUUUCACUGGAAAGAGAGAGACUGGAGAGAAAGGGAUGGAGGGAGGAGGUGGGGAAGACAGAGCCCAGACAGACAUUUUGAGGGGUUGCUUAGACUGGAAAAAUCAAGACUUCAGUGGAGCUUGGGGACCAACCACAAAUAUCUAAAAGCUUUUCGCGAAAACAAGGGACUAGACUUAUUUGAUGGCAAAUGUUCAGAGUAGCAUAGGGACAAAACCUGGGAAUUAUAGGGAGGCAGAUUUAACUUUUAUUUGAUAACAACUUCUGUUAUCAACUUAAGCUUGUUGUUUGAACUAUGUACAAGCACCUUGCUGGGGUGAAGAGGCGUGUAAUGUUUUGAAAUGUUAAUUUCCUUCCUGUUCUCGUGGCUGAAGGAAAGAAUGAAUGAAUAUUUAAUACUGCA